GACGAACGCUGGCGGCGUGCUUAACACAUGCAAGUCGAACGGAAAGGCCCUGCUUUUGUGGGGUGCUCGAGUGGCGAACGGGUGAGUAACACGUGAGUAACCUGCCCUUGACUUUGGGAUAACCUCAGGAAACUGGGGCUAAUACCGGAUAGGAGCUCCUGCUGCAUGGUGGGGGUUGGAAAGUUUCGGCGGUUGGGGAUGGACUCGCGGCUUAUCAGCUUGUUGGUGGGGUAGUGGCUUACCAAGGCUUUGACGGGUAGCCGGCCUGAGAGGGUGACCGGCCACAUUGGGACUGAGAUACGGCCCAGACUCCUACGGGAGGCAGCAGUGGGGAAUAUUGCACAAUGGGCGGAAGCCUGAUGCAGCAACGCCGCGUGCGGGAUGACGGCCUUCGGGUUGUAAACCGCUUUCGCCUGUGACGAAGCGUGAGUGACGGUAAUGGGUAAAGAAGCACCGGCUAACUACGUGCCAGCAGCCGCGGUGAUACGUAGGGUGCGAGCGUUGUCCGGAUUUAUUGGGCGUAAAGGGCUCGUAGGUGGUUGAUCGCGUCGGAAGUGUAAUCUUGGGGCUUAACCCUGAGCGUGCUUUCGAUACGGGUUGACUUGAGGAAGGUAGGGGAGAAUGGAAUUCCUGGUGGAGCGGUGGAAUGCGCAGAUAUCAGGAGGAACACCAGUGGCGAAGGCGGUUCUCUGGGCCUUUCCUGACGCUGAGGAGCGAAAGCGUGGGGAGCGAACAGGCUUAGAUACCCUGGUAGUCCACGCUGUAAACGGUGGGUACUAGGUGUGGGGUCCAUUCCACGGGUUCCGUGCCGUAGCUAACGCUUUAAGUACCCCGCCUGGGGAGUACGGCCGCAAGGCUAAAACUCAAAGGAAUUGACGGGGCCCCGCACAAGCGGCGGAGCAUGCGGAUUAAUUCGAUGCAACGCGUAGAACCUUACCUGGGUUUGACAUGGAUCGGGAGUGCUCAGAGAUGGGUGUGCCUCUUUUGGGGUCGGUUCACAGGUGGUGCAUGGCUGUCGUCAGCUCGUGUCGUGAGAUGUUGGGUUAAGUCCCGCAACGAGCGCAACCCUUGUUCACUGUUGCCAGCACGUUAUGGUGGGGACUCAGUGGAGACCGCCGGGGUCAACUCGGAGGAAGGUGGGGAUGACGUCAAGUCAUCAUGCCCCUUAUGUCCAGGGCUUCACGCAUGCUACGAUGGCUGGUACAGAGAGUGGCGAGCCUGUGAGGGUGAGCGAAUCUCGGAAAGCCGGUCUCAGUUCGGAUUGGGGUCUGCAACUCGACCUCAUGAAGUCGGAGUCGCUAGUAAUCGCAGAUCAGCAACGCUGCGGUGAAUACGUUCCCGGG
rnacentral:rRNA from 1 species